UUCCCUAAGUCAACAAGACAAGGUCUAAUAAACUUCAGGUCUAACAAAGACUUCUGCUGUUUAAUGUAAAAAAAAAUAAAAAAUAAAAAAUAAAAAAAUAAAAAUACUUGAAAAAAAAAAAAAAAAAGAAGCUAAGAUUUGAGUUGCUUGGGUGGAGUAGGUACAAGUUGGUGAUUACCAUUCAGGUUGGCUGCCAUCUGGGUAGGUCUCCCUUCAUGGAAGGCCCCAGCAGGGAAGCUGUAAUCAUGUGCUCAGUGAAGGCAAAAGUCGUUUUGAUAUCUUUUUAGUAAAUCAUUCCACCAACGCUGUGCAAGCCAUAAAUGUGGCACAGAUUAAUUGAGCAAAAAAAGUGACUUGCAUACAGUUGGCACUUCUGUUCUUAUUAGGAUCAGAAAGAACAAUUGGGUGAAGAUCACUUCAGGAAAAAGAAAAAAGCAUAUGUUACUUAUUGUUUUGGGUGAAUGUUUUUAUGGAAACAGGGAUGCCACGUCAUUAAUAACUCUGGCAUGCCAUCCCAAUUCUGGUCGGCCUGAUAGAUUAAACAUGAGCCCUCUCUCAUUAUUCCAGCAGCCGUAGAGCAUUGACUUUGCCUCCAGCCUGAUAAGUAUUCCAUGCACAUUCAAGCCUCCGAGUUGACAUCUUCUUCUAAAAUUGUUUGGCUGUAAUAAAUAUAAAACUUUCACCACUGAUGUAAAGCAUUGCUGGUUGGCAUCAUUUCCUACCCCCUUUUAAUUAUUCCUGACACUGUGGAGAAACAUCUAAUAUAAAUCUGUAAUGUGCACUGAUGACAAACUACACGGUUGAAGGACCAUGUAAUUUCUCCACAAUUAAUUAAAGUGCAUGGAGAUUUUUUUUUUCUCUUUCAUUCUUUCUUUCUUUUUUUCCCCCCAGCAGCCAGAUGCCACUGACUAGCUCAGAUAACACUGCUGUCAACUGUAAAAAAUUAAGAUCCAAACCGUAAGAAAGGUACUUAGAUAAAGAAACCAGAUGCCAGGUUAUUUGUGAUACUACCACAUACGUCUUGAUGGAAGCCACCAUUGUUCAACAUCUGUAGUUCCACAGCCUUAAUUACGCACUUAACUCAGCAAGCCUGUCAGCAGUUUAUUUCUACAAGUACCGUCACUUUUGUAAAUCUUCCCUUAAAAAUUGAAUGCUGCCAAUCAGCACAGGGAAGAGAGACAGAGACCCUGGAAGACCUUGUGCAAAAAGAGAUGGCUGCCCGUUUAUGCCGGUAGCACAUGCUGGUGUUUAUGGGCAUGUGUGUGUGGUCACCCAGAGAGGAAAAAAUGCUCUGCUACCAUUUCAGGCUGAUCUACCACCUGGAAUUGAUCAAAAGCAAAUUAAUUUUCAUUUUCAAUUAGGAAUACAAUUAAAUUCAAAGUGGUGAGGGGGGGAAAUGGCCAUGUUUACAUAUAGCUCCUGCUGGUGGGAGGGCUUGAGGAAAUACCAGAUGAAAUGAAAUACUUGUCUUUGUAUCUUUGCAUUUAACUCAUUCAAGUGUUAAGGUGGUGGCUGGGGCUGCUGCUGCUGGGACUGCAGUUUACCUCCCCUGGAGCUGCCCCUCCUUCCCUUCAGGCAGAAUGUAGGCAAAGGGAAGAGGGAGGGCAGUCAGAAGGUGGCCACUCUGAGAUGCCCAUUCAUGGGCUCUUUUCCCAGGAUUUGGCCGUGGAUCCAAGAUAUGGGUGUUUUCAUGUAGAGCCUGAAUGAGGAAGCAGUAGUUUGGCUUUGCAUUCUGCUGGCUCUCAGCGUCAAAGCAUUACCUGGCAAACGGAUCCACGUCUGGCCAUCAUGAGAGAUAUUGAGUGAUUGUGUGAAAACAAUCUGGCUGUUGAAUGCCUCAUGUCACAGGAUCCCGGCCCUUUUCACUUGACUUUUCUCUACAUUCAACUGCUGCCUUUUGUUGGAGUAACUGAGUGGGGGCCUGUGGGGCAGACAGGAUUCCUCCUGGCUGCCUGGGGAACAGUUGACCCAGUGUGUUCAUCACCAAGGGUGGUAAUUUGGGGAGCUUUGACCCUGAUUUUAAGGAAAGUCAAUUAUUUGUCAAUUAUGAGUCCCAGAAAUCCUGAUAUGGGACUCAGAUGUUAAAGGCCCGGCUCUCUGGUUUCGGGAGAGAUCACAGUGGAUCUGAGAAUAUGAAGCGGUCAUAUUCUCCCAGAGCAGUGCAUGUUGCUUGCCAUAAGCCUUCUGUCAUGCUGAUGAGAUUCUUCUAACUAUCCAUCUUGGAGAUCAGCUUCUUUGAAAAAGCAGAGUGGGUGAUAAAUAUUUGGUCAUAUGAAUAACAAUGAAGUAGCUUCAGAUAAUAGCUUACAUCUUUAUAAAAUCCUCUGGGUGAUGGAUGAAGAGGAAGAGAAGGUUCUGGGUCAUGGAAACAGCUGCUUUGGGUGAAAGAUUAUCCAAAGCAGGGUGGUGACCAGGAAUCCUUGCUGCUCCAGUCCAUACUUUACCUCCUACCCACACCCCCAACCACCUUUCUUGUCCUAAAGCAAGGGUUUACGUUUCCUCCCUGCAUGGUAUUUGUGCUUUAAAAGAAGAUUUUAUUACUUCUGCUACAGUGGAAUUUCUCUUUUUACUAGACAGUUGGCAUGACCGCAGCCUAAAACCGCAAUGGAGUUGUUAACACACUGGGAUCAGUUUUUCCCCCUUUAAAGCUAUUCUUUUCUUUUCUUUAUUUUUUUAAAGAGGAAAAAAAUGCUCCAACAAAUCAACAGAACUAUUAACUUUCUGAUUUAUUUGCUAGAGAGAGCAAAAAAAGUCAAUGUGAACUGACAGAAACGCCAGAACAGACAGUAUGAAAACAUUCUAUGUGAAAGUUUCCAACUGAAAUCGCACCACAAGCAGUUGGUUAUCUGGAGAUAGACAUCUUCAAUUUCCUGAUUGCAUAAUAGAAAUGGGAUUUCUUUUUCCUCUACAAAAAGCGUUAUCCAUAAUGUUGACAUAAAGUUUUCUGUGCCUUGAGUUCCAAAGAGUACUCUUCUCAAGAACAGCCCAGCAUCUUCUCAACUGCUAACGGUUACUGCCAUUUCUCCUCCUUCAAGGGAAAGGGUAAAUGUUGCUAACAUGAUGAAGGCCAGAAGAAGAAAUCUUCAAGAGCCUGGGAGAUUAACUCUGCCCAGCUGGCCGGUGUCAUGGCAUCUAGUAAACAGGCCGAUCCUCCACUAUAAGGAGAAAUAGCCUUGAGAAAAAUUAAUCUGGUUAUGGGUUGGCAACCCAAUAGCUGCCUAGCCAGUGCACGUUUCUCCCUUUGCAAGUAUCUCAGGGUUAGAAGUGUCUAAGGAUUUGAGACUGUGAUUCUGGGAGGUUCAGGACAGUUGUCCUGGCUGGGCCUGAGCCAGGCUUUGCCGUGGAUCUGCCCACCUCAAGAACUGGCACAGGUGAUAGGUAGUCUUCAAAUCUACAUGGCAUCCCAAUACAGUUGGUGACAAUGCACUGUAUUUUCCUCCCCCCUCAGUUUCUGAGGACCCAUUUCUGAGAUGGAAAGUUCUUGGCCCUGGCCUGUAGCUUACAUCACUUUGGUAUUUUUAAAUGCCCAUGAUCUCAAAAGCAGUCCUCAUAUUAAAAUCACCCUUUAUAUCAAUACUUCAUUUUAUGUAACAUAGUGUUUUAAAAUUAUAUUUAAAAGGCAGCUUCUUUUGUCUUAUGUGCCCUUGGCUAGGAAACAAAGGAAGUCUCUUUUAAGAGGUGUUUUACAUUUUAUGACUACUGAGAGAGAACAUAGUUCUUUAAUAGGUAGAUAUCUAAGAGAGUUUCACAUUAUAGGUUUUCAGAGAUUAGAAGUUCUGGAACAAGGUUGUUUGAUAACAUCUCUGAAGGGCAAAGGAGCAAACGGAAACCUCAGAGGACUGGAUGCCAAAACAGAACACUCUCUAGACUUGUGGGCAACAGGAGCUUUUCUGAGAUCGUAUUAUUCUCACCGAUAAUAGCAUCCUGCCUUGACUGAGGGUGAGGGUGUGCAAGAUGGAUCAUUCGUGUCUUAUACUUCAUGGUUAUGGGCAUGUAAUAUGUUCUUCAUUGAGCCAGGCAAUUGACAGAGACGCCAGUGCAUUUAAGACUUGAGUCUACUGGAAAUGAGACUUGCUCUCUUGCCAGAAAUGGAUGCUUUUCUGUGUCCACCACUAUCAGACAUCUUGACUUUUUUUUAAUCCUGACUCUUAAAACAAUAAUAUCAAACAACUCGAGGGGGAAAAAGUUAAAUAUUUCCAUAUGAAGAGCUGAUUAAAUUUGUAUGGUUUUCUUUUCAGUAAAAAUUGAUAUGUGAUGAAACACAGUGCAGCUGGAUGGCUGGUUUGGGUUGAUGCUGUCACAUCCUCUGAUCUCGCUACCCAGCUGUAAGGGCCAGCACCCGGUGAGCUGCCAUGCUGCUCAGAAUGCCCAUUCCCAGGCACUAAACACCAAUCACUGAUUACCUGGCUGAAGUCUUUCCUCUUAAGUCUCAUCGUUCUUCUGUGUGCCUUCCUUUUCAAGGGCAGGCUGAGUCCAUGUGGAGCAUUAUGGUUGAUAGGCAUGUGAUGCCCAUCUAAAAUACGGAUAAUAAGAGGAAAGGGCUUCUCAAUUAUUGGUGUGGAUAUGAGAACUUGACUUUUUUUUUUUGAGACAGGGUCUCGCUCUGUUGCCCACGUUGGAGUGCAGUGGCACUACCUCUGUCUCCUGGGUUCAAGAGAUUCUCCUGCCUCAGCCUCCUGAGUAGCUGGGACUACAGAUGCAUGCCACCACACCCAGCUAAUUUUUGUAUUUUUUUAGUAGAGACAGGGUUUCACCCUGUUGGCCAGGCUGGUCUCGAACUCUUGACCUCAGGAGAUCCACCCACCUCAGCCUCCCAAAGUGCUGGGAUUACAGGUGUGAGCCACUGCACCCGGCCAAGAACGUGACUUUUGAUUUUCCCAGUAUUUGGAGUGGGUGGGCUGCUUCUGCUGUUGCCAUUGGUGGCCAAAGGUAACAACAGUAUAUUUUGCUGUAGCAGAUUUUACAGAGAUGAAACCAUCUUGCCACUUCUAUUCUUAAUAACUGUGUCCAUCUUUCCUCUCUGCAGAGAUGAAAUUGCCAAAGAGUCAGAAGCUCCUCCAGGCUUAGCCAGCUUUCACCUUUGCUCAUCAUACAUCUAUGGGGCUCCUCUUAACUCACAGAUGGGCUAGCGCCUGUUUUCAGCCUUUAUCCUGAUCCUUCGUAUCUCCAUGCCCGCUCCAUGUCUCUCUCUCCAAUGUCUCUUAUCUCUGUCUUGCUUAACUGGGACCAGUUCUUCCCCCUCCCUCUUUCAGUUUCCAAAGAUCAUCUCCUGCCAGAUCUUGGCCUAAAGUUAACUUGAUUCUCUGGCCUCGCUUACAGAAGCCGAACUGCUCUAAACCACCUUUGGUGGCAGUGACUCCUUCCUGAAUGAGGUCAGGCACUCGAAAAAUUGAUAGGCGACACUCACUCUGGGGCUUCUCACAUAUAUUCCUCAGUCGGGAAUGGUAAAGGUCCCCCCAUUCAGGGACUUCAAUUUUGUGACAGAGAAAAAGACAAAUUUGACUGUCAACAUUUGUUGGGCUCCAAGGAAGUUACACGUGUAACUGAGCUAUUUCAGAUCUCUAUUUGUCAAGCCCAGUGUUCACUGUGGGUUUCCUUACAUCCCUCCCCUGCCCAAACCCCUGCCUUCGAGAAACAGUCUACAAAAAAAGCAUUUACCCUCUGAGGAUUGCUUUGUAAUUAAAAUUUUACAAAUGCCAAAUAAACAAGGGCAUUUUUGAAAUGUAAAUUUGUCAUUUUUCGUAAGCAACUUAAAUCAACUCCACCUGCCUUGAGACUGGUUUCUCCUUCAGCACAAAGCCACGUGCUCCUAGGUUCUCUUUUGGCUCCUGCAGCUCCGAUUCCCCGUGCACUUAGAUCCUGGUGUCGGUUUUUUUUUUCCUUGAACACUUUCUGCAGUUUAGUUAUUUGUUGUAAUUAUCAAGUUCAUUUUUCUCUAAUAGAUGUGAUUAAGUAUAUUUAGCACUGUGUAAUGAGUUUUCUGCCUGGUUGCAUCUUAGCUAAUAAGGAAUUCCUUAGCGGCAACUCUGACAGCUGCUACGAGUCCCAGGUCUGCGCUGCCACAAGAGACUCCUUCCAUGAACUGCUAGCAUUAGAGAAAUUAACUCCAUUACACUAACCAUAAAAUUGAGGCUGAAAUUUGAUUACUAAUAGAUCCUCAAUUCAACUAGAAACUGUAGAAACGGGGUGGUGCCAGUGGGGAGGAAGGUGAACGCGUGUGAAAUGCCAGCAUCCACAUUUUCAUCAGUGUGUGUGUUCACCACACUUCCAAUUUAUUUCCUGGGCAGGAAGGAGAGAAUAGAGCCAAGCUGAUGGAAUUAAAACUGCGUGAUUCAGCCGGUAUAAGACUGGAAAUCUUUGUUACUGCCAUGAUGGUAAUACCUUGUUAUUAGUGCCUCUGUCUUCGCUGAGCUGAGAAACCUCCCGGUGUGUUUUUGGCCAUCAAAACUACUUGCCAUUGUCACCGGUAGUCCAGAUUUGUAAGGCUAAAGUGCUGAGGACAAUUAGUAAUUGGUGACUGGCUGCUAUGAUGUAUAGUUGCUUAGCAACGGUGCCUGAAUUAAGUCUCUGGAAGUGGCAUACAGGAAGAGACAAGACAGGAAGAUGAAAUAGGUACCAUUUCAAUGUGUAGGUGAGUCAGUAAUGAAAAAGGAGUGAAAGAUAUUUGUAAUCAUAGAGACGGCUGAGUGGAAAAUUGGGGCUAAAGGAAAGAAAAGGCGGAACUUAGUUCCUCUCUUGCGAAGUAAAAUAAGAGUAAAUGGCAGUUGAAUCACCCCAUUGAUACAAGAGCUCAUUCUCUUUCUUUGACACUAUACUGUGAACCCAAUGCUAGCUGAACUCAGGGUGCAUUAUUUACCCAAAAGGCAGCAUGAAAAUUCAUGGAAGGAAGAGAUGGAGAAUGAAGUUGCACUGGCUUGAAGUCUUUAGAACAAGAUUAAUUUAGCUUCCGUUAGUUCAUACCAGCGAACUAGGAUUAAGUGGGCGACAGGGCCCAGGUUUGAUUCAGCCCUGCUUGCAAUACUGGGUGGAACUGGUGCUCUGAUAUACUGAUGUUCAGUCUUGCUCUGUUUGGAGUAGAGAAGUAUCUUGAAGAGGCCACGAACAGCAUAUUCAUUUCAUUAGACUUGGCUGUUUUGAGACUCUGAGCAGACUAAGAUAUCACCCUGAACUACAUGAUUUAGUGAGCUGGUUUAGCCUCUGGAAGGCCAGAUGAGCAAAAGAAAGUGGAAAAGCAGUACAAGACCUUGAUCCAGAUACUGAGCCUUGUUAAGGGACUGCCUUAUCUAUGGCAACGAGCUAUGUCUAGAGGUCUGCAAAGGUGCAGGGGCUGUUUUGCAAUUAGUGUUGAAACACUGAGAUAAAGAAAGGAUAUAUAGGAAUUAAAAAGAGAUAACGUAAACACUAACAAAGAGUCUUAAUCCCCUCGGCUGAGUGUUUUGCAUGUUUACCUCUGAUCAGAAUUCUUAAUAAUUUUGAGUGUGUUCCAACUCAAUAAAAAUUCCCUAGGAAGAAACAAGUCGAUUCUUGGAUUAAAAAACAAAACAGAAACAGAAAAAUGUAUGCCCAUGUCUAUUAUUUUAAAAAUAAAAAUUAAGGAAAUUAAAUGACACAGGAAGGUUUUGUUUGGGUUUAGUUUGGUUCAGCCUACUCAUGGGCACAAUUCAGUCCCCCAUUAUCUACUGAUUAGCAGGAUAUCUUUAGGGCUCAGAAAGCAGGUUUUCUGUCUCUACCGAUGGCUUGUUUUCUGGCUGAAGAAUGAAGGUGUUUUGAUACAAAGUUAUUAUUGUUCAAUUGAGAAAGUCUUUGCCCUCCUGGCCUGAAGUUCCCCACUGGAGAGAGGAAGCUGAUAACAAUCUCUGGUUCUUUCCUAGUACCUAUAAAGGGCUCAUCCUCACUUACAAUAGAGCACUGUAUUUUCAGGACAAUGUAUAAUUAUUUGGGAAGAAGCCAAAAUGAUGACUAGUGCGUAACAAUAGCAUGCAUGAUAUCACAAUCUGUCUAAUGGCUGAUGGUUCCAGUUUAAAUAUCUUAAGCUAAGGGUGCUCCGUGCUCUCACAUUCAUUCCCACAGUCCCACCACUGCUGUCCCUUAGCCAGUUCUACAUUGUGAGCAACCCUAUGGAGAAGCCCUUAAGUUGCUGAAGCCUCCAGCCAACAGCCAUGUCGCUGAUUUUGGAAGGCGAUUUUGGAAGCUUAUCUCCCAGACCAAAUCAAGCCUCAGGUGACUGCAGCCCCAGCUGAAACAUUGAUUGCAUUCUUAUGAGAAACCCUAAAACCAGAGCCAUCAGCUCCCAAAUUCCUGACCCACAGAAACUGUGAAAUAAUAAUGUUUGUUGUUUUAACCUGUUCAUUUUUGGAGGUAAUUUGUUACCCGGCAUUAGGUAAUGAAUAUACUGGCCAAUUACCACAUGUAUCGAUUCAUUUAUUUAUUCAUUCAGUAGGCAUUGAAUGACAACUUUGCCAGGGACUGUGCUAGAUGCUAGGGAUACCAAGACAAAUAAAGCAAGGUCCCUGCCUUCAAAGAACUCACAGUCUAGGAGAGUGAGAUGGACACGGAGUCAGAGAACACUGAAGGUUGGUUUAUGAGCAGCAGGCAUACAAAGGAGGAAGCUGGAGUGGAAGGAGCCGUAAAAUUGACAAAGUGGUCUCUAAUAUAACCCUCCCCAGACACACAUACAAAUACAACACUUUCUUCCUAACUUUCACUUAGCUUAGCUGUAGACAGUUCCAGCAAACCUUGUUUAGCACUGCUCCGUGCUACAUUGACUCCUUAUGGAGCUGGCUGACCACUGUGGAAGAGAGAGCACUAUCCUACAUUCUCAGCCCUUGGCUGUGGGCAUCCCAUGAUCAACGUGACUCAGUUUGAGUGACUCUUGCCAGUCUGUCAGUUUUCUUUCCUCUUCCCUGGUCUCUCUGUCAUUAACACCCUAUUACCUAUGGAUGUCUUCAUUAGAAGCAAAUGUUGUUUUUUGUUUUUUGUUUUGACACGGUCUCAUUCUGUCGCCCAGGCUGGAGUGCAGUGGCACGAUCUCGGCUCACUGCAACCUCUGCCACCCAGGUUCAAGUUAUUCUCCCACCUCAGCAUCCCGAGUAGCUGGGACUAUGGGCACGGGCCACCACGCCUGGCUAAUUUUUUUUUUUUCUGUAUUUUUGGUAGAGAUGGGGUUUCACCAUGUUGCCCAGCUGGGCAAAUGGUUAUUUUUUAAAUGACCAAAAAAAAUGAGAUUAUUUUAAUGCUUUGUAUGCUCGCCCGAUAUAUAAAUGCAAGUUUCACUGUGGCUUGAGUCUGAACAUGGUUGGUAGAUGUGAGUCAUACCCUGGGCCCAGCUGCGUCCACCAACAGAAUACUUCUAAGGAGCACCAGGAAGAUAAAGACAUCAGCCCAAAACGCUCUAAUAUGUUGCUGGUGAGCAGUAAAUCACAGUGGUAAGAACACAUCUCCAUGGGGACCCUGCUAUCAUGGCCCUUCUCAUGGCUGAUUCUUUAGAAGACUCAUUCCCACGGCCUCUUCCUGUGGGUGACACAGUGCCCUGGACAUGGGUGGUACUGUGUGGUUGACAUAGGGCCUGAAGGUGGGUGACAGAUGUUAUGGAGGAGAAUUUAUUUUAUUUUAUUUUUUGAGGGGGGAGACAGAGUCUCGCUCUGUCGUCAAGACUGGAGUUCAGUGACACAAUCUCAGCCCACUGAAACCUCCGCCGCCUCCAGGGUUCAGGUGAUUCUCCUGCCUCAGCCUCCCAAGUAGCUGGGACUACUGGCACACACCACCACGUGUCAGUAGUCCCAGCUAAUUUUUUGUAUUUUUAAUAGAGAUGGGGUUUUGCCAUGUUGGCCAGGCUAGUCUCGAACUCCUGACUUCAGGUGAUUCACCCACCUCAGCCUCCCAAAGUGCUGGGAUUACAGGCGUGAGCCACCACGCCUGGCCGGAGGAGAAACUCCAGCGCAGUAAAGAAACAGCCCUGCUGGUACUGGGUCCUUUACCCUCCAGAGUGGGGCUCAGGAAGAAGGAACAGGACCAGGUACCAAAAGCCCCAGUAAUCCCGUCAAGAGGUGCCCAGGUUUAGAGAUGACUUCAAGGAGGAGGAAAGCCUACACACUCUUUUUCCAUCUGCUGCAGGCCACAGUGGCAAAGCAAUAAAAUGCUGAUACCAUCCUCCUGCAGGUAUAACUGAUUUAAGUGGGGAAAGGCAGACAAUCUGUGAGAGACACCAAAGAUUACUUGGCUUUUCCCCCCACCUCCUGUGCAUGAACCGGAGAAUGAUGGAACAAUUGGUUGUGUUUGGGGCCUUUAUUUGCUUUUUUCCCUCCUCUCUUUAAAAAAUAAAUAAAUAAAUAAAAAAUCUGCCUUUGUCUGCUGCUACUGUGUCUAUUUUUGUUGUGGUGGUGGUUGUUUUAAAUAGGAGAACUUGUGAAAUGAGACUGCAUAAAAGAUGGACUUGUUUUAUAUAUGGGAUAUUGCCUGUCCUUCAGAUCUAUGUGUCUCGCUUAUGGAAUGAACCAAAGUAGGAGAGAUAAACUAAUAUUUUGUAUCAGCUCAGCCAGACAAUACAGAUGAUAAAGAUGUUUCAUCUUCUUAUGCAUGCAGAAAAUAUGAAAAAUCGUAGUUUACACACAUUUGCUCAAUUCAAGUGUAAAAUUGGGCCCCUCGAUUGCCCUGGGCCACAGUGGCUGUGUUAAGGAAGCUCGAUUUACCUUGCAGCCGAGUGAAAAAUGAUCAGAAUAUUAGACUCAUCUAGCCCACAUUAAGGAGCCAUUGCAUUUCCCGACAAUUGUAUGCUAUCUCAAUAUGAAAACAGAGCAAUUUCAACUCAUAUCAGGUUAUGAUCGGCAAUUACAGUUGCAUAAUUCACCUAGUCAUCUCUUUGCAGGGCCUUUAUUUUCCCUCUUGGUGACAUUCCUGAGAAAGUGCCUGAUAAAAAUGUCAUAUAUCAUCCCAGCUUUAGAACUCGUGAGGGGGUAAUCUGCUAUGCCUUGCUGAGCCCAUAUUCAUCACUGGAUUUUUGACUUGGAGGGGUCAUGGCACUCAUAAUUUCCUGUUUGAUAUUGUCCUCACCAGCUCUGACAAGGGGCUGUAAAAGCUCGGUUGUAGGCAGUGGUUAAGCGCUGCUCCAGUGGGGCCCAUCACCAGCAAUAAGAGUGCAUUACUGUGGCUCAUGCUGGAGUUGGCCGUUUCGAAGAUAAUUAGAUUUGAUGUCAACAUUUCUUUAUCACCUGCAUCCUUUUGUGCAUCUGUGUGUCAAGUUGUUCUUUCCGGAUUUAUUAGCACCCUCAGAGCUACUCUCUAUCUGUCAGCUUGUGUGCUGUUUGUGUUGACAGUUGUAAAGUUAAUUACUAGUACUAAUGAGCAUCGGGCUUUUGGUGGACAUGGCGUUUUGGACAUUUAAAACUAUAAUUAGUUUUUUUUUGUUUUUUGUUUUUUGUUUUCUGUGUGUGGUGCUUCAGUACAAAAUAAAACGUGUUUUAAAAAAAUACGUCCCUUCCAUUGCAUUUUGACAUUCUGUGUGCAGUCAACUUAUCUUUUAUUCAAAGGCUCCAAAAACUCAGUUCUGUUUCUUUUUAAAACAGACUUCCUUUUCAUUGUAACUCCAUGAAUAAUUUCUUUUGUUCCUUACUUCUCUUCCAACUUGAUAACGUGACCAUUUCAUAUGCCUUGAGAAUUAAGGAUAGUGAUGGUGGAAUGAUCAAAAAAUGUGCUGGGUAAAUGUUCAUCUCUGCCCAAUCGGUGGACUACAAAUUUUCCACUUUUAACUCUCCUCUUUUCAAAUCGUACUCUGGGUUCAACCGAAAGACUCAGUGAAUGAAGAAGAUUGGAUAAAAUGAAAAGUGUAAUAAAUCGUUCUCUGAGUGGCUGGCCCCAAAAUAAUAGUGAUAGCUCAUAUUGGUGUAAUGUUAACUCUCUGCCAAGAAUCAUGGUAAUCUCUAUAUACAGAUUACCUCAUUUAAUCCUUGCAACAAACCUAAGAGGUCAAUACUAUUAUCUCCAUUUUACAGACGGGGAAACUAAGGUUUAGAAAGGUGAAGGGUCUAACAACUAGGAAGUAGUGCUGGGAUUUGAAUCCAAUCAGUGUAGCUCAGAGCCUGUGCUCUUAAACACUAUUCUAUAGACACAAAGUAUGCUUUCAAGGAAAAUUAGCAGACUCCUGGGGCAUGUAUUCUAGAACAACAAAAAACAAUCACUUACUAAAUCAGAUCGGCUCAUUUGUAUUUCACUCCCAGCCAUACUGGGACGCUAGUUUCAGUGUAAUGGCAAUUAUCUAUGGCAUGUACUUUAUGGAGGUAUUUUGUUUGGUCUAUUGCGGCAGCAAAGCACCACUCCCUUGCUGCUAUUCAUAUUUACUUUCUAUUCAUCAUUAUCUGCCAUUUUGCUAAAUAACUAUCCUUCCCAGACAUAAAUCAUCUAUAAAAAAUACUCUGGCUCAGAGAAAAUUUCGCCCUGGCCCUGCAAUGAUGAGAUAACCAUUUUCAUCUCUUGUUGAAGCAUUGAGAUUUAUUGGCUUUCGAUGGGCAACAGACCAGGCAUCACUCUCUGCUAAACAGACUCCCACUUGCAUUUAUUCUUAUUGCAUUUAGUGAUUCAAAAUGGAGCUCUCGGAAUCCCUUGAGGGUCCAUUCCCAGCCUGGGUGGGGUGUUAUUACUUUAUAUUAGAUAAGGGAAGGACACACAAAGAAACAUGCGGUGAUUCGGAUGAUUUUUUAUUUCCGUUUAGCAGUGAUGACAGAAUGUCAUAGUGAAAUGACUUCAAAAGUCAUUUUUCCCCACUGCCCUGGUUCUGCAGCCUUGUCCCUUGAGGGCUCUUCCAUUGUACAGUGUUAUUAAUUCUGCUAACUUUCAGACUUCAUUGCUGACAACAGGCCUCUUGGCUUUCGCAGCCUAUUACAUUAAAUUUCCCAUCAAACCAUGUCAGCCUCUGAGGUCACAGAUUUCAAGAGAAGCUUUAGAUAUUUUGCCAUCUGACUUCAUGGGCAGGUGUUUUCUAAAUUGCUUUUAGGUUUGUUUUUCCAGUGUCAGAAAUCAGAUUGAACCUGUUUAAAAAAACUCAGACAGUGAGUGCUCAUCAGGAUAAGAACAAAGCGGAGUUUGAGGCACGCCUGAACUGGCAUGUGUGUUUGUGUGUGUGUGUGUGUGUGUGUGUGUACAGCCGCACGCAUGCACUUGUGUUUCAGUUGACCUUCCAAAGGCAGAGCAAAGCCUUCCGACUCAACUUCAUCCCCGGCCCCACCUGGUGAGUACAGUGUCUUGUUGACUAUCUAUUUUUCUAAUACUUAACUGAAGCCCCAAAAUAUAGUGUGACUGCCCUGGUGAACAGAGAUAUGCUCUACUGACCUUGACUUUGGAGGGCUCUGUGAAACUGUUGAGUAGCAUUAGAAGGUCACUUUGGGCAGGCCAGUGAAAUGACAGAGGACCUGGUCUAGGGCUAGAAUGCCUUAACAUGGACUCCUCAAGCAAGUUCCUGGCGGCAAUAAAAUUUCAGUGUGUCCCUUGAUGCCUUUAUUUUGGUGUGCUGUUGUGGGAUCAAAAUAAAGGAAAAGCAGAAACCUUCCUUCCAAGUAACAUGGCCACAGGCAUCACGUUGCUGUCAAAAUUACAUUCUGAAGGAAGCCUGCACAGGAACGUGCAACUGGGGCUCCAUUUAAAAACAGAAAAGAAAUGAGAUGUUAUUUUUGAAGCAGUCAACUCGUGGAAAUGAUUACAAGUCAUUUGGCAAACCCAAAGUCCCCUUGAAAUUCUUAUUUAUUAUUAGUUCCGGUUAAUAUUUCUGCUCUGAAAAUGACAACAUUCAAAUCUUGGCUUGCCGUGAUAGUUCAGAUUGACAGGCUUGGCCGUUAACACCUUUUUGGUCUUCUGAACUGGGUAUUGUAGUGUGCUUGGCAGGGGGGUGCGGCAGGAAAGUGACAGACCUUGGAAGCUGAAGAGGAGGGAGGACCCACACGCUGGCUUCCUCAGUGAUGGGUAUCUAAGCACUUCAGUGCCUCACCUAAGAGCAGGUGACAAGAGCUUGGUGGCUUGCAGGAAGCACUGCAGUUAACUCUAGCCCCGCCCCCUUUUUUUCUUUAUAAUUUGUAGAGACCUCGGAAGCUGCUGUUAUCUGAACCCAUCAUUAGCCAGCUCUACCUGCAGGAGGAGAUGCUGAACCAGGCUAGGACCAGAGAAAGAUGAGUGAGGCGAGGUAGUGUCACUCUGUUUCCUCCUGCUAGCAGCCAUAAGGAGAGAGAAUCAUUUGUGGCACUCUGGGGACAGUUUUGUCACCCUGACAGUAAUGCUGUUAUGCGCUGGCUUGACACACAGGAUGAAUCCAUAAAGACAGAUAAGUAACUGUGAAAGUGGCUGGGGAUCAGGCUGAGUGCCACCACUCACCUGCAGUGACAAAUAGAUAGUCAUGAAGGAUUGGAAAUCCUGCCCAACACAGAGAUCUGUCAGCAGAGAGAUGGACUGCAACCCCAGUGACACAGGCAGCUGGAGCAAAGUGUGUGUGUGCACACAUGCGCCCCCGAGGGGUGUGCGGGGAGGUUAACUUCAGAGCCUUGUUUCCGAGAGGGUGUGUGUGGUGGUGCAGGUGGGAUGAGAAGAUUUCGACACUUUUCCUUUAUGAAGUAGAACUGUGGAUGUUGUGUCUUUUUGUUGGUAAGUUCAGGCACAUUUGGUUUAGAAGGCUGUGCUUACUUUCCGUUUUCCCCGGAAUUUUUCUGAUACCAAUAGGGGUCCCCAUCUGCAAAUCAAAUGAAUCCAAGUUAUGAGAGCAAAAUACUACUGCUGAACUGCUGAUGUUGGUGGCACCAGGCAAGGGACAAGCGGAAGCAGGGGGGCCCUUAUUUAUCUUUUAUGCUGGAAAGGCUUGUUCUUCCUGGCUGGAAAUCUGCUUUUCGUCAAUGAAAGAAAUUCCAAGGGAAUUGUUUGAAAAAACAAGCACAAGGCUGGAACUGCUGUUUCCCACUUGGGCUUGAGAUCCGAACAGCGCUACGUUUUACAGUUUUGAAAUCUGUUACUGUUAUUAUGCAGAAUAGAUCAUCUUUGUUGUAAUUAUCCUUGAGAUCACAAAUGCCGUAUGGUGUUCUAUUGUCUUUCUGGGAAGUUAUGAAAUAGAUUUGAGGCGAAAAGUAAACAUAAGCGAUAAGAGUCAAACCUCAUUGGGUCACUGUCAGCCAUUUGGACAGAAGCCCUAAAUGGCCCAGAGGCACAGCCAUUUAGAACUCUUUUCUUUUUUUUUUUUUUUUCAGUAGAAUAUUUUGACCCCCAGAGGUAUGCGUAGCUAUAUCGGGGAUCCAAAGGUUUCACACAGGAUGAGUCCUGUGUCUACAUGCAGCGUAGCAGGAGCUGGGAAUGGAAGCAAACCAAUAUUCCAGCAUCUGCUUCUAGAACAGUGAUCAGGAUCGCUAUCGUUAAUAAGAUGGGUGUAUGUGGGACCCAAGACUCAUCUGUCAAGCCCUUCUUCUGACUGCUUUUAAGUGGAUCAUGUACUUGGUCUUCAGUGGAAGGCAACAGCCUCAGCCGUCUGUCAUGACUACAGAUGCAGACCACAGGCAGCCAGCAGCCAGCGCCCAGGGCUGGCAGGAGUGUCUCGCGUUCUAAUGAGGCAUCAGCGGUGGCUCACUGAACACCACAGAGAAAGCCAGUUGUCUCCUGCUGAAGGGGUGGCCAAGCAUAAAGCAUUCCUUCCAGUUAUUUAUACUGCAGCCACUUAGCUA